GGCCUGUGGUGCAGCGGUAGUACGCUUGUCUGGGACGCCGGAGGUCCCGGGUUCGAAUCCCGGCAAGGCCA
rnacentral:tRNA from 1 species